AUGAUGCAGAAAGCCGGCCGAGGUGAGGCCCAAGACCUGGACGGCAGCUCUUUGCAGAUAGUGGCAACUGUGGCGUACGCCAUGAAGCGGGGGCAGCCCAGAGCAGAGGUCAAGCAAAGGCGGCUCAAUGGCGACCGCGGCGUGGCAAAGCCAACAGGUGGCUUGGCCAAGCGCACAGGCGAUGUUGCUCGGAAUGAGCCGGCUUAG
rnacentral:rRNA from 1 species